rnacentral:rRNA from 1 species
GGCUCAGGACGAACGCUGGCGGCGUGCUUAACACAUGCAAGUCGAACGAAGCACUUUAUUUGAUUUCCUUUGGGACUGAUUAUUUUGUGACUGAGUGGCGGACGGGUGAGUAACGCGUGGGUAACCUGCCUUGUACAGGGGGAUAACAGUUGGAAACGGCUGCUAAUACCGCAUAAGCGCACAGCAUCGCAUGAUGCAGUGUGAAAAACUCCGGUGGUAUAAGAUGGACCCGCGUUGGAUUAGCUAGUUGGUGAGGUAACGGCCCACCAAGGCGACGAUCCAUAGCCGACCUGAGAGGGUGACCGGCCACAUUGGGACUGAGACACGGCCCAAACUCCUACGGGAGGCAGCAGUAGG